rnacentral:rRNA from 1 species
UACGAAGGGAGCUAGCGUUGUUCGGAAUCACUGGGCGUAAAGCGCACGUAGGCGGAUGUGUCAGUCAGGGGUGAAAUCCCGGAGCUCAACUUCGGAACUGCCUUUGAUACAGCACGUCUUGAGUCCGAUAGAGGUGGGUGGAAUUCCGGGUGUAGCGGUGGAAUGCGUAGAGAUCCGGAAGAACACCGGUGGCGAAGGCGGUCUGCUGGGCAGUUGCUGACACUGAGGCGCGACAGCGUGGGGAGCAAACAGG